ensembl:snRNA U1 U1 spliceosomal RNA
AUCCUUACCUAGCAGGGAGCCGCCAUGAUCACGAAGGUGGUUUUCCCAGGGUGGAACUUAUCCAUUGCACUUGGGAUGUGCUGACCCCUGAGAUUUCCCCAAAUGUGGGAAACUCGACUGUAUAAUUUGUGAUAGUCGGGGACUGCAUUCUAUCCCUGA